UCUGAUUCUUCUUGGUGUGCUAGUGCUU
rnacentral:piRNA from 1 species